rnacentral:rRNA from 1 species
AAAACUUUUAACAACGGAUCUCUUGGUUCUGGCAUCGAUGAAAAACGCAGCGAAAUGCGAUAAGUAAUGUGAAUUGCAAAAUUCAGUGAAUCAUCGAAUCUUUGAACGCACAUUGCGCUCCCUGGUAUUCCGGGGAGCAUGCCUGUUCAAGCGUCAUUA